rnacentral:lncRNA from 1 species
AACGUGAUAAGGCUACUUUAACAACUGCCUUGAUAACUGCAUUCCUUGAUAACCACGAUGCGUUAUAUUUGUUGAUACCUUGGGCGACUUGAAGGUUUGGGCGAGAGUAGAAUAACAGCUCUGGGCGACCGUAUGACACUCCAUUCGUUCAGAUUCUGGGCGACUUGCAAACUUGGGCGAUGGCGUUACCGCAUUCUUGGGCCCCUUAUUUGGGCCUUCACCUUGAUUCGUUCGAUUGGACUUCGUUCUUUGGGCUAUCCGAUUUGGGGAUCCUUCAAUUGGGCUUUACUCCUUGGGC